rnacentral:rRNA from 1 species
AUUGAACGCUGGCGGCAGGCCUAACACAUGCAAGUCGAGCGGUAGAGAGAAGCUUGCUUCUCUUGAGAGCGGCGGACGGGUGAGUAAUGCCUAGGAAUCUGCCUGAUAGUGGGGGAUAACGUCCGGAAACGGACGCUAAUACCGCAUACGUCCUACGGGAGAAAGUGGGGGCUCUUCGGACCUCACGCUAUCAGAUGAGCCUAGGUCGGAUUAGCUAGUUGGUGAGGUAAUGGCUCACCAAGGCGACGAUCCGUAACUGGUCUGAGAGGAUGAUCAGUCACACUGGAACUGAGACACGGUCCAGACUCCUACGGGAGGCAGCAGUGGGGAAUAUUGGACAAUGGGCGAAAGCCUGAUCCAGCCAUGCCGCGUGUGUGAAGAAGGUCUUCGGAUUGUAAAGCACUUUAAGUUGGGAGGAAGGGUCGUUACCUAAUACGUGGCGAUUUUGACGUUACCGACAGGAUAAGCACCGGCUAACUCUGUGCCAGCCGCCGCGGUAACAC